GGUGAAGGCCCCAGUGCAGCAACAACAGCACAUGAUGGAGACGAUGAUGAGGAGGAGACCAUCUCUCUGGAUUCCAGAAGGCAUGAGGACCCAGAUGCUAUACAGUGGGAAAACCAGCCUGGCAACAUAGUGCGUAUUAAUAAAAGGACACCACAUCCUGCCAAAUUCCAGCUGCGCUAAUUGUAUUGUGUUCACAGAGCUCACAAGCUAUCAGAAAGUUGUAUGGCAACCACCUCCGGCGCCAAAUAGAACUGACAGACAUUCAGUACAAGAAGAAAAAGAUGGAAAAUCUUGCACUGGAGUCCGAAAUAAAAAAGAGGACAAUUAGGAAACUGGAACUUGAAAUAAAAAAACUUGAGAGGGAGCUCCAAGAAGAUGACACAGCUCAAAAUAAAAAUUAGCAAUCAGUACAACCAAGUCAUCGUUAAAAGGCAUCGCCCUCUUUUGCCCACCCCCCAGCACCAGGUGUGGCCACUAGCCUAUAUGAAGGCCCAAAAUUGUGUGUUCCUUUCUGCUCUGACAAUGGCAUGCCCAUUCGUUUGCAACAGAUGUGGUGGAUGAAGAAGCACUUGUGCUGAGGAGAGCCUUCAGGCGAGAAAGGGUCUUCAGGGACCGGUUGGACCCACUGGCCUUCCCUGAUGACCAUCUAUAUGAAAGAUACAGGUUUUCUGCAGAUGGCAUCAGGUAUCUAUGCAGACUACUGGGUCCCAGGAUUAAGCACCGCACUGCACGGAGCCAUGCACUGAGUGUGGAGCAAAUGGUUUGUGUGGCCUUGCGCUUUUUUGCUAGUGGAGCCUUCCUGUACUCAGUGGGGGAUGCAGAACAGCUGAACAAGGCCACAAUUUGCCGCACAAUAAGGAGUGUGUGUCUGGCUAUCAAAGCAUUAGCAGAUGUCUUCAUCUCCUUCCCUGGCCACAGAAGACUCUGUGACAUCAAAGAGAGUUCUAUAGGAUUGCAGAUGGUCUGCAAUGCUGACUGUGUGAUCAGCAAUGUUGUGGCAAAAUGGCCUGGCUCAGUCCAUGACUCAGAAUCUUUCGGGCCUCUGAAAUCUAUCAGUGCCUAUCA